GGGUUGUGAGGUUAAGCGACUAAGCGUACACGGUGGAUGCCCUGGCAGUCAGAGGCGAUGAAGGACGUGCUAAUCUGCGAUAAGCGUCGGUAAGGUGAUAUGAACCGUUAUAACCGGCGAUUUCCGAAUGGGGAAACCCAGUGUGUUUCGACACACUAUCAUUAACUGAAUCCAUAGGUUAAUGAGGCGAACCGGGGGAACUGAAACAUCUAAGUACCCCGAGGAAAAGAAAUCAACCGAGAUUCCCCCAGUAGCGGCGAGCGAACGGGGAGCAGCCCAGAGCCUGAAUCAGUGUGUGUGUUAGUGGAAGCGUCUGGAAAGGCGCGCGAUACAGGGUGACAGCCCCGUACACAAAAAUGCACAUGCUGUGAGCUCGAUGAGUAGGGCGGGACACGUGGUAUCCUGUCUGAAUAUGGGGGGACCAUCCUCCAAGGCUAAAUACUCCUGACUGACCGAUAGUGAACCAGUACCGUGAGGGAAAGGCGAAAAGAACCCCGGCGAGGGGAGUGAAAAAGAACCUGAAACCGUGUACGUACAAGCAGUGGGAGCACAGAGCAAUCUGUGUGACUGCGUACCUUUUGUAUAAUGGGUCAGCGACUUAUAUUCUGUAGCAAGGUUAACCGAAUAGGGGAGCCGAAGGGAAACCGAGUCUUAACUGGGCGUUAAGUUGCAGGGUAUAGACCCGAAACCCGGUGAUCUAGCCAUGGGCAGGUUGAAGGUUGGGUAACACUAACUGGAGGACCGAACCGACUAAUGUUGAAAAAUUAGCGGAUGACUUGUGGCUGGGGGUGAAAGGCCAAUCAAACCGGGAGAUAGCUGGUUCUCCCCGAAAGCUAUUUAGGUAGCGCCUCGUGAAUUCAUCUCCGGGGGUAGAGCACUGUUUCGGCAAGGGGGUCAUCCCGACUUACCAACCCGAUGCAAACUGCGAAUACCGGAGAAUGUUAUCACGGGAGACACACGGCGGGUGCUAACGUCCGUCGUGAAGAGGGAAACAACCCAGACCGCCAGCUAAGGUCCCAAAGUCAUGGUUAAGUGGGAAACGAUGUGGGAAGGCCCAGACAGCCAGGAUGUUGGCUUAGAAGCAGCCAUCAUUUAAAGAAAGCGUAAUAGCUCACUGGUCGAGUCGGCCUGCGCGGAAGAUGUAACGGGGCUAAACCAUGCACCGAAGCUGCGGCAGCGACACUAUGUGUUGUUGGGUAGGGGAGCGUUCUGUAAGCCUGUGAAGGUGUGCUGUGAGGCAUGCUGGAGGUAUCAGAAGUGCGAAUGCUGACAUAAGUAACGAUAAAGCGGGUGAAAAGCCCGCUCGCCGGAAGACCAAGGGUUCCUGUCCAACGUUAAUCGGGGCAGGGUGAGUCGACCCCUAAGGCGAGGCCGAAAGGCGUAGUCGAUGGGAAACAGGUUAAUAUUCCUGUACUUGGUGUUACUGCGAAGGGGGGACGGAGAAGGCUAUGUUGGCCGGGCGACGGUUGUCCCGGUUUAAGCGUGUAGGCUGGUUUUCCAGGCAAAUCCGGAAAAUCAAGGCUGAGGCGUGAUGACGAGGCACUACGGUGCUGAAGCAACAAAUGCCCUGCUUCCAGGAAAAGCCUCUAAGCAUCAGGUAACAUCAAAUCGUACCCCAAACCGACACAGGUGGUCAGGUAGAGAAUACCAAGGCGCUUGAGAGAACUCGGGUGAAGGAACUAGGCAAAAUGGUGCCGUAACUUCGGGAGAAGGCACGCUGAUAUGUAGGUGAAGUCCCUCGCGGAUGGAGCUGAAAUCAGUCGAAGAUACCAGCUGGCUGCAACUGUUUAUUAAAAACACAGCACUGUGCAAACACGAAAGUGGACGUAUACGGUGUGACGCCUGCCCGGUGCCGGAAGGUUAAUUGAUGGGGUCAGCGCAAGCGAAGCUCUUGAUCGAAGCCCCGGUAAACGGCGGCCGUAACUAUAACGGUCCUAAGGUAGCGAAAUUCCUUGUCGGGUAAGUUCCGACCUGCACGAAUGGCGUAAUGAUGGCCAGGCUGUCUCCACCCGAGACUCAGUGAAAUUGAACUCGCUGUGAAGAUGCAGUGUACCCGCGGCAAGACGGAAAGACCCCGUGAACCUUUACUAUAGCUUGACACUGAACAUUGAGCCUUGAUGUGUAGGAUAGGUGGGAGGCUUUGAAGUGUGGACGCCAGUCUGCAUGGAGCCGACCUUGAAAUACCACCCUUUAAUGUUUGAUGUUCUAACGUUGACCCGUGAUCCGGGUUGCGGACAGUGUCUGGUGGGUAGUUUGACUGGGGCGGUCUCCUCCUAAAGAGUAACGGAGGAGCACGAAGGUUGGCUAAUCCUGGUCGGACAUCAGGAGGUUAGUGCAAUGGCAUAAGCCAGCUUGACUGCGAGCGUGACGGCGCGAGCAGGUGCGAAAGCAGGUCAUAGUGAUCCGGUGGUUCUGAAUGGAAGGGCCAUCGCUCAACGGAUAAAAGGUACUCCGGGGAUAACAGGCUGAUACCGCCCAAGAGUUCAUAUCGACGGCGGUGUUUGGCACCUCGAUGUCGGCUCAUCACAUCCUGGGGCUGAAGUAGGUCCCAAGGGUAUGGCUGUUCGCCAUUUAAAGUGGUACGCGAGCUGGGUUUAGAACGUCGUGAGACAGUUCGGUCCCUAUCUGCCGUGGGCGCUGGAGAACUGAGGGGGGCUGCUCCUAGUACGAGAGGACCGGAGUGGACGCAUCACUGGUGUUCGGGUUGUCAUGCCAAUGGCACUGCCCGGUAGCUAAAUGCGGAAGAGAUAAGUGCUGAAAGCAUCUAAGCACGAAACUUGCCCCGAGAUGAGUUCUCCCUGACUCCUUGAGAGUCCUGAAGGAACGUUGAAGACGACGACGUUGAUAGGCCGGGUGUGUAAGCGCAGCGAUGCGUUGAGCUAACCGGUACUAAUGAACCGUGAGGCUUAACCUUACAACGCCGAAGCUGUU
rnacentral:rRNA from 1 species